rnacentral:rRNA from 1 species
UACGUAGGGUGCAAGCGUUGUCCGGAAUUAUUGGGCGUAAAGAGCUCGUAGGCGGUUUGUCGCGUCUGCUGUGAAAACUCGGGGCUUAACCCCGGGCCUGCAGUGGGUACGGGCAGACUAGAGUGCGGUAGGGGAGACUGGAAUUCCUGGUGUAGCGGUGAAAUGCGCAGAUAUCGGGAGGAACACCAAUGGCGAAGGCAGCUCGCUGGGACGUUACUGACGCUGAGACGCGAAAGCGUGGGAGCAACAGG